ensembl:lncRNA
GAAAUAUAGCUUCUAUAAAAGGAAAUUUGAAACAUAUAUAUUUUUGAAGUAACUAAAGAAGUAGAAAUACAUUUUAAUUAAUAUUAAAGUAUUUAAAUCCUUCUAUUCAAAAGCUCAGUUUCCUAAGAACAAAGAAAACACAUAAUUUAGGACGAUUUACUCAUUAAGAAUAAACCAAAUCUUUUAAAUAAUCAGUUAAACUUUUAGUCUCUUUUUUUCUCAUCUAAAAUGACUCACGCAAAUCCUGUUCAUACAAAAGGAAAGUGUUAAUUUGUAUCCUAAUUCACCUUAUAUUUACUAUAAUGUAUAUUUCUUUUUUGGACAUGUCAUAGCUUCUCCUUUCAUAAAAUAAUAUCUUCCAUUAUGUUGCAAUUACAAACGAUGGCUCAUAGAACUGGUGAAUCAUAGGGUUGGAUGGAAUAAGCCCUUCAGCAGUCAUUUUCACCUCGAGGGCAUCUCUAAACCAUGAGUUGAACAACAAGGUGAGUAAGAGACACCCUCAGUAAGAAAUAUGGCCUUGGCUAGAUGAAAAAAAAAAAGGUACAAUUGGGAACUCUUUUUCUCUUUAGCAAACUACAUCUUUCUUUCUUUUUUCAAGGUGAAUCUUAUUUCAAACUGAUAUCAUCAGAAUAAUAACCCCACAACAAAAAUUGUUGUGUGAGACCAUUUAGAUUCACUUCAUAUGUGAGAAUCGGAUGCUAGCAUCUGCAAGACAUGAGAUAAGCAAUGUUUGAAAAUAGCAGAUUCUGCCCCCAUCUAUGAUAUAUUUGGCAUUAAACUCAGGACAGAAGAAGACACAAACUUUAUCUUGUGGUUUGGGUCCUCCAAUGCUCGUAAAAGUGUGGUUUCACCUGUUACCUCAUAAAGGUGCCAUUGCUGUAUGCACAUCUGAAUCUAUUUACAAUUUGAGAAUACAGAGGCACUGGCUCUGCAGGCUUCCAGGGUGUGUGUGCUGCAUGGAUCUCUUCUCAUCUGUAUAACCUCAUCCAUAUAACUAAGAGAUUGAACCAAAUCCCCAGGCGGACUGAAUAAGAAAUCAGAGUUAAGGCCCCCAUGGGAGAGGUGAGUACAUCAGAAGCCAAUCCGUGUGAUCCUACCAUUCAUUUCUCUAUUGCCCCAUUGGAAUCACUUGUUGAAGUGUCUAUGGCUCUGUGUUUGUGAAGAAAACAGGCAACCCUCUCUGAUAUUUUCAGUUGUGAUUUUGAUUUUCCAUCCCAUAGUUAACUAGUUUAAAGGAGCACAAACCAAAGGUCGUCAUCAUCACUAAUCUUUGCAAUGAUUAACUAAUUAACAUAAUGAUUGCAAAAUGAACUAUUUUCACAACUCAGUGAUUCUGAUAACUGUGGUUAGCUUGGGUAUUGUGUGUGUGUGUGUAUGUGUGUGUGUGUGAGAUUCUCUAACUCUGAUUUCCAGGAUUGGCUCCUGUCACUUGGCACACUUGCUGACUGUACCUGUCUGCAACAUUGGGCUACAGGAGGAGCCCUGGAAUGGAAGCCUGAUGAAAAUGACUGGGUAAUUCUUAGGAUGAAAUAGGAGAAGAAAUGUAAGACAUUUGGGGUUGGCAAGCAGGCUCCCUACCAGUUUUGAGAUGGGGCAGGUAGGAUUUCAAUGGCAUGUUACAUAACCACCCUCUAAAGGGACAGAAUGCACAUUUCAGUGGCAGAAAAAGAAAAGCACUCUGUUCUACUAUGGUUAAUUGUUAUUAAUAAUUUAAAUGUUGCUUUAUCAUAUUACAUAUAUCUGCUUACAUCCAAUGACUUACAUAAAAAAAAAAAUCCUUAGAUCCUAGAUUUUUGGACUAAGUAACUUUUUUUUUUAAAGGCAUAAAAGCUCUAAUUGAAUCCUAGCAAAUAUUU